GACAGAGGGUGCAAACGUUGUUCGGAAUUACUGGGCGUAAAGCGCGUGUAGGCGGCUAAGUAAGUCGGGCGUGAAAUCCCACGGCUCAACCGUGGAAGUGCACUCGAAACUGCGUAGCUAGAGUCCUGGAGAGGAAGGUGGAAUGCUUGGUGUAGUGGUGAAAUGCGUAGAUAUCGGGAGGAACACCAGUGGCGAAGGCGACUAUCUGGGCUGCAACUGACGCUGAGGCGCGAAGGCUAGGGUAGCAAACAGG
rnacentral:rRNA from 1 species